rnacentral:rRNA from 1 species
UACGGGGGGGGGCAAGCGUUGUUCGGAAUUACUGGGCGUAAAGGGCGCGUAGGCGGUUGGAUAAGUCAGCUGUGAAAACCACGGGCUUAACUCGUGGCCUGCAGUUGAGACUGUCUGGCUUGAGUGUGGGAGAGGAGAGUGGAAUUCCUGGUGUAGCGGUGAAAUGCGUAGAUAUCAGGAGGAACACCGGUGGCGAAGGCGGCUCUCUGGACCACAACUGACGCUGAGGCGCGAAAGCUAGGGGAGCGAACGGG